rnacentral:rRNA from 1 species
UACGUAGGAGACGAGCGUUGUCCGGAGUUACUGGGCGUAAAGGGUGCGCAGGUGGCGGCGCGCGUGGGGGGUGAAAUCGCCCGGCUUAACUGGGCGGGGGCCUUCCAGACGGCGUGGCUUGAGCAGCGGAGGGGGACGUGGAAUUCCUGGUGUAGCGGUGAAAUGCGUAGAUAUCAGGAGGAACACCGGUGGUGUAGACGGCUUUCUGGACCGUAACUGACGCUGAGACACGAAAGCGUGGGUAGCAAACAGG